rnacentral:rRNA from 1 species
UACAGAGGGGGCAAGCGUUAUUCGGAAUUAUUGGGCGUAAAGGGCGCGUAGGCGGCUUGGCAAGUGGAUGGUGAAAUCCCUCGGCUUAACCGAGGAACUGCCGUCCAAACUGCUUCGCUUGAGACCGGGAGAGGUGAGUGGAAUUCCCAGUGUAGCGGUGAAAUGCGUAGAUAUUGGGAGGAACACCAGUGGCGAAGGCGGCUCACCGUGACCGGUACUGACGCUGAUGCGCGAAAGCGUGGGGAGCAAACGGGG